CAACGUUUUGACUAAAAACGCCGGCAAAUAUGUAUUAAAAAUUUUCAAAACAGCCUGUUUUAUUCCCAGAACCCUUUCUUUUUUUUGUCCCCUCCCCCAAAUCAGUUCCCCCUCCCCGAAAUCCCUAAUUUUUUAAGGACCAGGUUCCCCAUCAGAGAGUCCAAAGACGGUUCCUAUCCAUGUCUUUCGAGUUCAAACCAUCGAGCUGUUUUUAAGGACUGGGGUGCUCGCACAAUGGGAGCUGGGCAGUUGGGUUUGGAUUAUUAACGUGUGUCAGCAGUUUCGGACGGUGGGUCCGGUGGAAACGGUGGGUUUGGAGGUUCCGGUGAUGGGAAUUCUGGUGGCAAAGGUGAUGGGACUGGUAACAAUGGAGGCGAAAGUGGCUGGUCCUUGCUUUCAUGGUGAGGCUGUUUAUGAGGAUGACAUUCCAUCUCCGAGAAACUGUCUGCAUGGAGCAUUUAUUUAUAGCACAGAGCCUUUGGCACGGGUGCAGGGCAUAAAAUUUUAGCCUGGAUCAUCACCCCAUGGAGUCUCCACGGCUAUCUCUUUCAAAGAUUUUCCUGGGGAGAAUAUAGGGGCUCAGACCAUAUUUGGUUCUGAACCUUUAUGCAGAUGAGCUUACUCAAUGUGCUGGUCAGCGCAUUGCAUUGGUGGUUGCAGAUACACAGAAAAAUGCAGACAUGGCAGCCAAACUUGCAGUGGUUGAUUAUGACAAGAAGAAUUUAGAACCAAUAUUAUCUGUAGAAGAGGCUUUUGAGAAAUGUAGCUUUUACGAGGUCCCUCCUUUACUUAACCCCGAACCAGUUGGUGCUUUUUCAAAAGGAAUGGCCGAAUCUGACCAUCAAAUGCUAUCUGCUGAGGUGAUUAUCAUACUUCACUGUUGCUUAUCUCUUAUGUUAACCGGAUUCAGGUGUGAUUGGUUUUGACUUUAUUCCAGUAAUUGAAUAGUGUUUUAUAUGCAAGUUGAAGGUGGACUUUCCAUGUUCAUCUUGCUCAAAAGUUGCCCGUGUCUGCCUGCAGUAGGAUCAACUAAUUAGUUGAUCAAAAACUACACCCAGUUUUGUAAUCGUCUACUUGCAUAUUUGCAUAUACUUAAUAAUAAUCUCGUGUCAACUAA